AGUUCUCACAAAAUCUGGACAGUGAAAGGCAUAGGCACAGUUCCACAUAGAGUCAAUGAAAGCAGAUACUCACAGAAUCAUCCAAGCAGUUCAGUACAUGGAAAACAGUCAAUCAGUUCGAGAGAUGAAUCAAGAGAAACAGAGCCUCACAGAUGCACAAAAUCGGUGUUUUUCUCAAGUGUUUAAGGUAAAUCAAUGUCACUCGAUGCACUCAAGAAAGCAAACACAAAUAGACUUGGCAAGCCUCUAAUAUCAACACUCAAGCACACAUGCAUGUUNAAAUCAAAAGGUCUUUUCAUGGUUGUAAUGGGGCCAAGGACAAGGGAGGAUAUCAUAUGGAUGAGAAGUUACAAACCACAGGAAAUAGAGGAGCAAUGGGGAACAAGUGUAAACACAGUCAAAUCACACCCAAAACCUCUAACUCAAUCCUCUUCUUGACUCCAUUAUUCACACAAUUUUUUAUUUUUCCUCAUUUUUUUUUCUGCAUUUUUUUUCUUUUUUUUUUUU
rnacentral:lncRNA from 1 species